UUACGCUGCCACUGCCGCUAACCAGCGUCAACGCAAACAUUUCAACGAUAAAUCUCAACUCUCGUCCUCCGUAGACACGUUUUGAGUUAACGCUUUAUUCGAAUUUAUUCGCGCCAGGUUAACUCCAAAUGAACCUCUUUCUACUUUCAAGAUGAAUGAACGAAGACGAUUUGCUAAGUUUGAAGUUUGAAUAAAGAAUUGUAUACGAGCUAUAUGAUCGUUGUUAUGUGUGACUUUCGGGAAGGAAGACGAGCAUCAGAAAAGCAAUUCGUUAAUAGAGAAACAAAAGAAUAUGCAAAAUCUCUACGUGAAAUCGCAAUUCUCAUUUGAUUUAAUUCAAUUGUAACAAAGAUUUGAUUCGAUUGUAAUGAUUAAUAAAUUUUUAAAAGAA